rnacentral:rRNA from 1 species
CACGGGGGGAGCAAGCGUUGUCCGGAUUUACUGGGCGUAAAGAGCGUGUAGGCGGGGUGGUAAGUCGGCGGUGAAAUCUCUCGGCUUAACCGAGAAUGUGCCUCCGAUACUGCCAUCCUUGAGUGCGGAAGAGGGAAGUGGAAUUCCUGGUGUAGCGGUGAAAUGCGUAGAUAUCAGGAAGAACACCAGUAGCGAAGGCGGCUUCCUGGUCCGCAACUGACGCUGAGACGCGAAAGCGUGGGGAGCAAACAGGAUUAGAUACCCUCGUA